UCCCUACGGGAGGCAGCAGUGAGGAAUAUUGGUCAAUGGGCGGGAGCCUGAACCAGCCAAGUCGCGUGAGGGAAGACGGUCCUACGGAUUGUAAACCUCUUUUGCCGGGGAGCAACGGGGUCCUUGCGAGGUCCCAAUGAGAGUACCCGGAGAAAAAGCAUCGGCUAACUCCGUGCCAGCAGCCGCGGUAAUACGGAGGAUGCGAGCGUUAUCCGGAUUUAUUGGGUUUAAAGGGUGCGCAGGCGGGAGAUCAAGUCAGCGGUAAAAUGUCGGGGCUCAACCCCGGCCGGCC
rnacentral:rRNA from 1 species